CAUGCAUGCCAGGCGAGCGCGCUACCACUUGAGCCAUAUCCCCAGCCCUAGUGUUGGAUAUUCUUUACCUAACAAAAUGCUUGGUAUCAAGAGGCUGUUGGUGGCUGGAAGGUAAAUGAAUGUCCCUUUGUGUGAUCCAAAUUUGAGGAGGAAAUGCCCUUUCCAGUCCUUGGUGAUUGUGCUUGGCCUUCCUCUUCUCAGGCUGGUUUUGUUUCCAGACACUUUAACUCCAUUUGACUCCAGGUUCCACCACCUUUCUGACCACAAGUCCUUCAGGCCUAACCUAUCUUGUGUUUCUCUAGCUCUCAUGUUGUAGUGUGUAAGCAAUACUUUUAGGUCUCUAACACUAAGAAUCUGAACUCGAUUUUUCAUUGUUUCAGCCCAUCAACCAGCCUGGUGGUUACUUGCUUUCAUUUGUCGUACUUCAGCUCUCAUCUCUGAUGAGACAUCCAGGGAGCCAUUCACUUGAUUUACAAAUUCAUUUCCUAAUACAUAUAGUGCUGUAGGCCACAUAUCAUACUAUGUGCUAGAGAUAACAAAUGGAAACAGUCACCAUCUCCAAGGAUCUCAUAGUCCCCUGUGUAGGAGGAAGGCAAAUGGAUAAAUACAAUGAAAUGAAAUCCUUGAGUAAUUAUUUUAGUGUACAAUGGGAGCCCCAACAGAGAGCUGCUGGCUGGGGACAAUAGGAAGACCUAAGGGUGUUAGAAGGUUAUUGGAGAGCAGUGCCA
rnacentral:lncRNA from 1 species